AAUGAACGCUGGCGGCAGGCCUAACACAUGCAAGUCGAACGAGGCAGCAAUGCCUAGUGGCGGACGGGUGAGUAACGCGUGGGAACGUGCCCCUUGGUACGGAAUAGCCCUGGGAAACUGGGAGUAACACCGUAUGUGGUCGAGAGACGAAAGAUUUAUCGCCAAGGGAUCGGCCCGCGUUGGAUUAGGUAGUUGGUGGGGUAAUGGCCUACCAAGCCGACGAUCCAUAGCUGGUUUGAGAGGAUGAUCAGCCACACUGGGACUGAGACACGGCCCAGACUCCUACGGGAGGCAGCAGUGGGGAAUCUUAGACAAUGGGGGAAACCCUGAUCUAGCCAUGCCGCGUGAUCGAUGAAGGCCUUAGGGUUGUAAAGAUCUUUCAGGUGGGAAGAUAAUGACGGUACCACCAGAAGAAGCCCCGGCUAACUCCGUGCCAGCAGCCGCAGUAA
rnacentral:rRNA from 1 species